ACUGAAGAAUUGAAACAAAUGGCAUGGAUUUUGUAAGGCGGCUGUGCUUUCUUUCUCCUUCUUGUUCAUCCUUCCCAGGCUGAGGAUGAGAAGGUGAAGAUUGUACAUCAUACCCAUCAGUUAGAGAUUGAGCUACCCAACCCACUGAGGGGACUUUAAUUUACAGAAAGGAAACUGCUAACAGCUAUCUCUAAAUUACAAUGGUGAAGAUUUACCAGAGGGAAGCUUCGGUAAAAUAGGCUUUUUAGUCUUGUCCCUAAUAAGUGUAUGUACCUAUUAGGGUAUAAUGUAAACUACCAUUUUGCUGAAACCGGCUUACAUAAUAAUUUUGUGCCGCUGGUUAACUCCAGUUUACUUUGCAUUUAGUCUUGCCCUUGAUUUUGCGUAAGAAGGGGAACACUGGUUUAUCUGGACUGUGAUAACCUGGAUUAUUUCCUGCUUUAUCUAGGCAAUUAAGUCAGAAUUGUAUACAUUUGUCCAUGGGUGAUAGUUGUUGGUGGCAUUCCAUUACCAUAGCAACAGGCUUCAUUCUUGGUUGCUACUAAUUGCCUCCAGAAUUAUGAGGGUAGGGAGGUUUUCCAGCUGACAGUGCACAGUGUUUGUAGAAAGUGCAAAAAGGGCUCUGUCAGAGCUCUCUAUUUAGAACCAACGGCUCGGGGACCACAAUGACUGAGAUAGAUGUGUUACAAGAACUUCCCAGUGACUUACUGCCCUGACUCUGGUUGCUGACAAAUGCUAUACUGCUACUUGGCUUCUGGGAAACGGAAAAGGUAUUUGGCCUUGGGAGUGUUUCUGUGGAAAGUAUAAUAGCAUGAACACCUGGUUCCCUAUCCUGCUUCUUCAGUCAACUGCCCAAUGGGUCAUUUUAUUUACAUUCCAGAUGUAGCCAAUAAAGAGAAUGAGGUGGCUUCAGUGAAUUCUAAUGGUCAUACUAUAUUCCUUUCAAGGAUAAAGAUCACCUGGGACAUUUCCCUGUUGGACACAUGUCUGUUUCACCAUUACAAACUCCAACACACACAAUCUUGUUGCAAAGACAAGUUGUUCAUACAAGAACUCUCAUCCAACAAAGUGGAGCCGGCUGUUGGUGAUGUGAGCCCUUGAAAGAUCUGUGGGUCCUUGGCUGGUACAAAAAAGCUUUAAACAAGUAAAAUCUAGGCAACAGGCUCCCUGAAGUGUUGACAGCUCAACUUAAUCAUGAACGUGACUCAAAAAUGUUAAUAAAUAAACCAAGGUAUUGUACAAUUAUAAUAUGCCCCCUCUUCCAAAGUUUUCAAGAUCAAAAUAAUUUUGGAAUAUAUUUAGAAUUUAAAUAAAGCUGCUGUCUUUGGUAAUUAAACUGGUUCCUCUACCUCCAUUUCUUCUCUUCCUUGCUUUCCUCUCCCCUCCCCCAUUCUCUCCAUCAAAAACAAAACAAAAAAAAAACCCAAAACACUUUCUCAGCUUUAAAGUUUGGUUUUUUUUUUUCCUUACAGCAGCCUCUGUGUUAUAUUUCCCGUAUACCUAAAUUAAGACAGUACGAAUUCAGUUCUUGAUUCUGCUUUGUUGAUUGUUGUUUUAUCUUUCAAGUUGUCUAAUAAGAGAGACAUCUAGAUUAUUGUCCUCUGCAGAAAAACCCAAACCAUCUCUAAUGAUCACAUAUAUUUAAACUUUUUUAUCAUAUAAUUAGGAUCCUAAGAUGUAGGUUUUAAAAGCCUUAUAAACAUUUUCUUUUUCUAUUUUCGGAAGCCUUUUUAUUUAGAAAAGAAAAAAGCCAAUACUGUCUUUCCCCCCCACCGCCCUCCACCCCCAUAUCAAAGUAAAUCAAAAGUUUGCUUAGAAUGGAGAAUUUAGGGAUACUGUUUAAGGUAACUCUGGUUUCUCAGGGCAUAACCCAAGACCAGCUCCCUCCUUUUGCAAGUUACAACGUGCCUAAAUAGCCUGGCAUUUCCAAGAGAGGCCAAAGAUCUUUUCCUCUUUUAUGACCCGUUGUAUCCUUUUGAGGCCAAAAAGAACAAGAGGGUCAUUGCCACUUCAGCCCUGUCCCUGUUUGUUCCUUCAUAGCGACUACACAGAUCUUGAAACCUAGUAUUGGCUUAACAUUUGGGCCUGGAACAUCUGGAAAAGGGCCUGAGAGGGAGUGGAGGAGACCCGAGAGGGAGAACUGUUGCGUUUUGUUACACCAGGUGCUAGGAGGAAGCAGCAUUCCCCUUUUUGAUAUGGGAGGCAAAUUCUGCAGGCCCUGGAGUUAGGCUUCAACAAUUGAAGAGGUCAAAGGACAGCUGAGUGGGGUCAGUGAGACACCAUGGGGUGUAUUUUGUUACUUAGUAAAAGGAGCAGCCUCCUAAAACCUUAAAGGAUUCUCUUGAAAAUCUGUGUUGUGAAAAGGUUUUAUGAGUCUCAUGGCAAAAACUCCUGAUUUAUCUAAGGAAUGCUUGCUUUUGUCUAAUGGAAGGAUAAUCCUUACCAAAUGUUGGCAACUACUAUAAGAGUCAAUAUAGGUCUGAAAGAACAGUUAGGGUUUGAGUAUACUUUGCUUUCCAAAAUGUUUAUCGUUUCAAUGCUUGUCUCUCAGUGAAGAAUUUUACAGUGUUGAAAUAUCACCUUUUUCUUUCUUUGCAGCAAAAUGUGGCAAAAAUUUGGUGAGAGGUGGGGUAGGGGUGGGGUAAGGAAUGAGCUUACAUUAAUUUUAAAAUUAUUUUAACAAGCUUUGACUGACUCUAAAGCAGGAUAUUAUUAACUUUUAAAAACACCAAAACUUAACUCUAAAAAAUUCUUUGAAUUUAUUUUUAACAAAAAAGGGGAAUCAAUGAAGUGCCAUUUAGUCUUGGAUUACAAAAGUUUUUUUUUUUUUUUUUUUUAAUUUAGUCGUAUGUCAUAGAAGUGGGUAUCAGUUGACGAAGAACCUUAAACCUGGGGCUUCCCCGACUGUGUUUCUUGUGCAUUUUGUAGUAGUAAGAAGAAAAUCAAUGUCAGAGUCAAGAAUAGAGAAUAAGAAAAGCAAAUAAAGAAUUUUCUUUUUGAAAGAAAAUGGAGACAGAGGGGAAAUUUGCCUGUGGUAAGAGAUCUUUGCCACACAACCCAUGACCUCAAGAUACCACUUAUGUGAUUGAGGAGACUUUGGAAAUGUAUUGCUACCUGGCAGAUAGGUAGCAAAAGGCAGAGGAAUUUGGUGAUAUUUUGAUGUUCAGUUUAUACACUUUACACUUGUGUAUAGAAGAGGAGUGUGUGUAUUGCAACAUGUAUAGUAAGGGGGAAAGAUAAAAUGAUGGCUAGUAUAGAAGAGACUUUAUUAAGCAUUUACGUGCUAAUUUCUAACUUUACAGUAAGUUGGAAUUACAUGUGUGUGUAUGAAUUUUUCCAAUUCUUUUAAAUAAUUAUCCAUUUUAAAGCCACAUAUACCUAAAUGUAAGGCUUAGCUGUGCAAUAUGCUCUGUGUCUAUUUUCUCAAGGUUAAAGUGCCUUUCAACAACUAAUUCAGAAACUUAAGUGUAGUGACUGAUAAUUGCCUAGAGAAAACCCACAGCUGUUUAAGUAGCAUUGAAAUUGUGGCAAAACUGACAAAUACAAUUAGCAACGUUAAUAAGAUAAGAAGAUGGAAAGUCAGGGGCAGAUGACACAGUGGAAAGAUGAAGGUAGUAGGAGCAACACAUCCGUUGAACAGAAUGUUCAUGGUGGCUUUGAAUUGCCAGUGCUUUUUCUUUUAAGCUCAGCCCCUCUUUUACCAGCAGAAGGGUGUUUACAAAUUAAAUAAUUCAUAUAUGCAUGUUCAAUCCUACCUUAUAUCUGACUUUGAAAGAAGACAGCAGUAGCAGCUAAGAAAACCAGUCAGAAUUUGCUGAUUCUAAAGCAACGAUUUUCUUUGCAGUGCCUCUUAAAAAUCAAUUUUAAAUGUAUUUCUAUUUGACUGUAAUUACUGUGAGGGGGAAUUUCUUUACCCCUCUUUGCACCCUUAUAAUUCUUAUGAGUCAACCACACACAUUACAAAGGAGACCAAAGCCCUGUUUCUAGAUUUAGUGACUCAGUAUUACCAAAACAAAACAAAAAAUCUGCAGGUCUUUAAUGUGUUCUUACUAAUUAUAUUGAUCUGGUUAAUAUUCAUAGCCUGCUUCCCAAACAGCUUCUUAGGAAAAUUAAAUGGGGAUAGGGAAAUAAGAAAAAUUAGGCGAAUAUUAUAUGGAAAAUGAUUAAACAUCUGUGUUCUUCCCAUUAUGGUUUUUAAAGCAUCCAAUGAAAUUUGGAAAAUUAUCCUAGUAUCUUUUGAAAUUCUACUCUGCAAAUGGGAAAUUGGUUUUU
ensembl:lncRNA